GACGAACGCUGGCGGCGUGCUUAACACAUGCAAGUCGAACGGAAAGGCCCUGCUUUUGUGGGGUGCUCGAGUGGCGAACGGGUGAGUAACACGUGAGUAACCUGCCCUUGACUUUGGGAUAACUUCAGGAAACUGGGGCUAAUACCGGAUAGGAGCUCCUGCUGCAUGGUGGGGGUUGGAAAGUUUCGGCGGUUGGGGAUGGACUCGCGGCUUAUCAGCUUGUUGGUGGGGUAGUGGCUUACCAAGGCUUUGAAGGGUAGCCGGCCUGAGAGGGUGACCGGCCACCUUGGGACUGAGAUACGGCCCAGACUCCUACGGGAGGCAGCAGUGGGGAAUAUUGCACAAUGGGCGGAAGCCUGAUGCAGCAACGCCGCGUGCGGGAUGACGGCCUUCGGGUUGUAAACCGCUUUCGCCUGUGACGAAGCGUGAGUGACGGUAAUGGGUAAAGAAGCACCGGCUAACUACGUG
rnacentral:rRNA from 1 species